rnacentral:misc_RNA from 1 species
GCAUGAUUUGAUGCAUGAUCUUGCCGCACAAGUAGCAGGGGAUGAAAUCAUUUUAUUAAGUUCAGAUGCAAAGUGUGUUGAAAAAAAAACUCGAUAUUUUUUAAUUGAUUUUGAAGUUGAGUCAUGGUAAAAUGUUGCAAAUUGCUUACCUAAUGUGUCAAAGGUGAGAACAUUUACAUCAUUUAAAUGGUCAAAAAAGCAUGACAUUAAAGAAAUAGAAUGUGGUGAAAUUUUUUCAAAUUAAGUCGUGUAAGGGUAUUAAAUUUGCGUGGUUUGAGAAUUAAGAAAGUGCCACAUUCCAUUGAUAAAUUAAAGCACAUAAGAUUUCUCGAUCUUUCUGAAAAUAAAGGCAUUGAGUUCCUUCCUGAUUCCAUAAUUAAACUUCAAAACUUGAAAUUCUACGCCUACUCAACUGUGAAAGGCUUAAACAGUUGCCAAAGCAUAUCAAAAAGUUGGUCAAUCUCCAGCAACUUUGGCUUGAUGGAUGUGUUAGUUUGACUCAUAUGCCACGUGGGAUUGGUCAACUAACUUCCCUUGAGUAUUUGGCCAAAUUCAUGUUGGCCAAAGACAAUGGAGUCUCCAAGCAUAGUGGUGGACUCGUUGAAUUACGUUACUUGAAUAAUUUGAGGCGACGUCUAGAGAUUUCGAAUCUUCAGUAUGUGAAAAAUCCAGCAUCUGA